rnacentral:tRNA from 1 species
CAAAGUGUAGCUUAAGUAAAGCAUUUAGUUUACACCUAAAAGAUUUCAGGUAACCCUGACCAUUUUG